rnacentral:rRNA from 3 species
AUAUCAAUAAGCGGAGGAAAAGAAACCAACAGGGAUUGCCCCAGUAACGGCGAGUGAAGCGGCAAGAGCUCAAAUUUGAAAUCUGGCCUCCCCCGGGGGCCCGAGUUGUAAUUUGCAGAGGAUGCUUCGGGUGCGGCCGCCGUCUAAGUUCCUUGGAACAGGACGUCAGAGAGGGUGAGAAUCCCGUCUUGGGCGGGCGGUCCGCGCCCGUGUGAAGCUCCUUCGACGAGUCGAGUUGUUUGGGAAUGCAGCUCUAAGCGGGUGGUAAAUUUCAUCUAAAGCUAAAUAUUGGCCGGAGACCGAUAGCGCACAAGUAGAGUGAUCGAAAGGUUAAAAGCACCUUGAAAAGGGAGUUAAACAGCACGUGAAAUUGUUGAAAGGGAAGCGCUUGCGGCCAGACUCGGGGGCGGGGUUCAGCGGGUGCUCGUCGCCCGUGUAUUCCUCGUCUCCCGGGCCAGCAUCAGUUUCGACGGCCGGUCAAAGGCCCCCGGAAUGUGUCGUCUCUCGGGACGUCUUAUAGCCGGGGGUGCAAUGCGGCCCGUCGGGACUGAGGAACGCGCUCCGGCUCGGAUGCUGGCGUAAUGGCCGUAAGCGGC